rnacentral:lncRNA from 1 species
AAAGAUUUUGCAAUUUAGUCCACAAUCUUUUCUUUUCCUCGAUCACGACUUGAAUCUCGUUUUUCUUGAUCUAUAAUACCAAAUUAAUCUUAUUUAAUACAUACGUUCAUCAAAACAGCAUUUAAUACGAACUUUAAAAAAAUUACACUUUUGCCCCUAAACUUUUGCAUAAUUACACUUUUGCCCCUAGGCUCGAGAAUUAAACUUUAUUCCUUAUUCUUAUGUUUUAUAACAUGCUGAUCACUUUUCCCUUCUAUGGCAACAUCAAAUUCUCUCUCUAACAUAUACUUGUGACUAUUAAGUAUUUUUGCCGAUUAAGCCCUUUUACUCGUUUUCACUAAAAAUCGAGUAGCACAAGUUGUCUAACAUAAUUUAAAACCACAUAUUCUAUCAUAAGACAUCAAAAUACACAAAUUUCACCUAUGGGUAUUUUUCCAAAUAUAAACCCUAGGUUGAAUUCUUGCUAGCAUAAGCUUAAUCGAGCUUCCGGGAUCCCAAAAACGUAAAGAACAUUAAAAACGGGGCUUGGAAUCACUUACUAUGGAGCUUGGAAGCUUGAAACAAACCCUAACUAUGGAGAACCCUUGAAAUUUCGGCCUAAUGAAGAAGAUGGACAAAAAUUGGCUUUUAAUUUUGUUUUUAAUUCAUUUUAAUAACUAAAUGACCAAAAUACCCUGACUACUAAACUUUCUAAAAAUUCCUUCCAUGUCCUAAUUUUGUCCAUGAACUUAAAAUUGGUCAAAUUUCUAUUUAAGACCUCCUCAUUAAUAUUCCAAAACAAUUUCAUACUAAAAACUUCUAGAAUGCAAGUUUUGCAACUUAUUCGAUUUAGUCCCUACUUUCAAUUUAAGCACUUUAGGCAUAGAAUUUCAUCACGAAAUUUUCACACAAUCAUGCAAUCAUAUCAUAAACAUCAAAAUCAUUGUAAAAUAAUUAUUUCUAUCUCGAAUUUGUUGUCACGAAACCACUAUUCCGAUUAAGCCCUAAUUCAGGAUAUUACAACUCUCCCCCCUUUUAAAGAUUUUCGUCCUCGCAAAUCUUACCGGUAAACAGGUGUGGGUAUUGGUUUCUCAUAGUUUCUUCAAGUUCCCAUGUAGUCUCUUCUACCCCAUGCUUUUACCACAACACUUUCACAAGUGCAGCACUUUUAUUUCUUAGUUGUUUGACUUCUCAAGCUAAAAUCUUAAUCGAUUCUUCUUCAUAAGUCAUAUCCGGUCGCAGUUCAAUUUCUGUCGGUGAAAUUAUAUGUGAAGGAUCCGAACGAUACCGACAUAACAUAGAUACGUGAAACACAUCAUGAAUAUUUUCUAAUUCGGGUGGUAACGCUAGCCGAUAUGCUACCGGUCCAACUUUUUCAAUUAUUUCAUACGGUCCAAUAAAACGCAGACUUAACUUGCCCUUUCGUCCAAAUCUAAGGACUUUCUUCCAUGGAGACACUUUCAAAAAUACCUUAUCACCAACUUGAAACUCCAUUUCCUUUCGUUUCAAAUCUGCAUAAGAUUUCUGUCUAUCUGAAGCAGCUUUCAAACAAUCUCGAAUCACUUUCACCUUUUCUUCGGUUUCUUUUAUUAAAUCAACUCCAUAAAUCUGAUUUUCCUUGAGUUCAGUCCAAUACAAUGGCGUCCGACAUUUACAACCAUAUAAUGCUUCAUAAGGUGCCAUCCUCAAACUUGUCUGAUAACUAUUAUUAUAAGCAAAUUCUACCAACGGUAAAUACUUUUCCCAACUACCUUGAAAUUCCAAUACACAACAUCUGAGCAUGUCUUCAAGAAUCUGAAUUACUCUCUCUGAUUGUCCAUCAGUUUGUGGAUGAAAGGCAGUGUUGAAAUUUAACUUUGUACCUAAUGCUUCUUGCAACUUUUGCCAAAACCGUGAGGUAAACCUCGGAUCUCUAUCCGAAAUGAUUGACAAAGGUAUCCCAUGAAGUCUAACAAUCUCUCGGAUGUACAAUUCAGCCAACUUAUUAAGAGAAUAAUCUGUACGUACCGGAAUAAAAUGAGCCAAUUUAGUCAGUCUGUCAACUAUUGCCCAGAUGGCAUUUUUCUUCCCUGGAGUUAACGGUAACCCUGAUAUAAAAUCCAUAGUAAUCCGAUCCCAUUUCCAUUCAGGAACCAUAAUAGGCUGGAGUAAUCCCGAAGGUACUUGGUGUUCAGCUUUCACUUGUUGACAAACAAAGCACUUUGAUACAAACUCGGAAAUAUCUCUUUUCAUUCCACUCCACCAGUACAUUUUCUUCAAGUCAUUAUGUAACACCCCGUACCCGAGUCCGUCGCCGGAGUCGGACACAAGGGGUUUGCAGACUUAAAUCACUUCUUUGCACAAUCCAUUUUAAAAUUUUCCAGGCAAGCUGGCUAACUGCGUCACUGUCACCUUAAAAAUCAUAUCUUGAGUUUCACAACUCGAAAAUCAGUUUCGUGAUUUUUCCCUGAAACUAGACUCAUAUAUGCAUCUACAAAUUUUUUUCUAGAAUUUUUUGUCGGGGCCAAUUAGUACAGUUUAUUAUUCAAAGUCUCCCCUGUUACAGGGAUCGACUACACUGACCUUUGCGAAUUACGACUUGGAUAUCUCCCUGUACAGGACUUCAAUACUGAUGCCGUUUGUUUCUAUAAAAACUAGACUCAAAAAGGAAUCUAUUCAUAUAUGGCAUGACUUAUAAUUAUCUCUGGUUAAUUUAUAAUGAAUUUCCAAAGUUGGAAGAGGGAAUCCAGAAACCGUUCUGGCCCUGUCUCACGAAAACUUUAGCAUCUCAUAAUAUACUGUUCAUAUGAAUGUUUCGUUACUUUUCUAUGAAAAUAGAUUCAUCAAGGUUCGUUUUCAUAAUUUAUUCACUAUUUAAUUUCAUUCCUACUAUUUUUAGUGAUUUUCCAAAUCUACAUCACUGCUGCUGUCAGCAUCUGCCUUUAAGGUAGACUUUACUCAUUUCAUAGUUUCCAUGAUUCAACUAGCCCUUUUAGCAUAAAUAGCACAAAUUAUGAUAGUGAUUAACCAUUCCCAUGGCCAAUCCUUGUUAAGCAUAUCCAUACCAAAUGAUUAUAACAUUAUGCUCAAACAUAUAUAAGCCAUUUUCGCAUGGCUAUCCAAAAUUAUACAAAUCCAAAGGGUCCAUGACCCACAACAAAAAGGGUAGUCCUAUACAUGCCAUUUCAAAGUUCAACCAAAAUUGUACCAAAAGGGGGCUUUGAUAGUGUGGGAGACUUCGACUUCCAAAAAUCCCGAGUCCGAUAGCUGACGAACCAAAAUCUAUAAAACAGAGAUUCAAAGAACGGAGUAAGCAUUUAAUGCUUAGUAAGUUUUAAGCAGUGUCAACAGAUAACAAUCAAAUUAUAACAUAGUUGUUCGUAUUUUUUUAUUUCACUCUUCCUUCGGGCAUACCAUCCCUUUACCGAAUAUGCACAUCUCAUCAUAUACAAUAGGCAGAUAAACUUUCACAUAAAAGUGAGCUCAUGUGACAUAGAUAUAUCGUAUGAUUUCACAUAACCUCUCACACUGAUCCGAUGUCACAUAAUCAUAGGAAUAGUCUCAUAGAUUGCUCUCGUAUGCAUCACAUAACUACCUUAUGAUUUAGUGCAAAUCAAGCUCACAUAUAAACUUGGAGUACAUACCUGUUUAACCUUUCGCAUUGAAUAUAUUUAUAAGCAAUUCUUAUUACGAAGUCUUACCUGGACAUAAUCUCCACACGAAGUUAUCGGGUCUUACCCGGACAAAAUCCCCACACGUAGUCAUUGGGUCUUUAGAGCUCGGAUAUAGUACAAGCACGAAGCUUACGGACAUUAAUCAGUGAUAAUAUUCUUGCAUAAAGCCUGCGGAGUUUUAACCCGGAUAUAGUACUGACACAAAUGCCCUUCGGGACUUAUCACAUUUAUACACUUUCACAUCCAUCACGUUGGCCACUCGGCCCUGUCACAUAUAUACACUUUCACAUUCAUCACAUCGGCCAUUAGGCCUUAUCACAUAUAUACACUUUCACAUUCAUCACAUCGACCAUUAGGCCUUAUCACAUAUAUGCACUUUCACAUUCAUCACAUCGGCCAUUAGGCCUUAUCACAUAUAUGCACUUUCACAUUCAUCACAUCAGCCAUUAGGCCUUAUCACAUAUAUACACUUUCACAUUCAUCACAUCGGCCAUUAGGCCUUAUCACAUAUAUGCACUUUCACAUUCAUCACAUCGGCCAUUAGGCCUUAUCACAUAUAUACACUUUCACAUUCAUCACAUCGGCCAUUAGGCCUUAUCACAUAUAUACACUUUCACAUUCAUCACAUCGGCCAUUAGGCCUUAUCACAUAUAUACACUUUCACAUUCAUCACAUCAGCCAUUAGGCCUUAUCACAUAUAUACACUUUCACAUUCAUCACAUCGGCCAUUAGGCCUUAUCUCAUAUAUGCAUGUUCACAUCCAUCACAUAGAAUCCUAAAUCAAAAUAUAGAUUUUCAUGUAUUCACAUCACAAUUAUCCAAAUAUACUUCACAUACCACAUAUACUUUCACGUAUACACACUGUCUUGGCUGAAUCUACAUCUAUCAUUUUCCAAUAUCACAAUUUAGAAUUCACGUAUGGGUUUAAUCAAUAGCUUAUGAGCAACUAAAACAAGUUUAUCAAGGUUUACAACACAAUCUCAAAUUCAGCACAAGCUGUUUUUCUUGAGCAAUAGUCACUAAAUUAUUUAUAACUGGAGCUACAAAACUCCAAAUCACUUUCUGUUAAUUUUCCUGAAUAUAUACUCGUAUAUCUUCCAUCCAUAAAAUUUCCAGAAUUUUAGGUUUGGCCAAUCAAUACCAUAUUUUUCUUAAAGUUUCCCCUAUUUCACUGUUUGACUAAUCUGACCACUCUUCACUACGACUCAAAUUUCUCAUUUUACAGAAUUCAAAAUGUGUUGUAUUUGAUUUCAUUUGAAACUAGACUCAUUAAGGAGUCUAAGCAUAUAAAGUUUACCUUAUAACCAUUUUUGUACAAUUUAUAAUGAUUUUCUAAAUACAGAACAGAGGAUUACAGUGUCAUUCUGCGCUGUCUCACACAACUUUAAGUAUCUCAUUAUCAGAAAUUCCUUUGCUUACACGGUUUCUUUUAUAAGAAACUAGACUCAUUAAGCUUUAAUUUCAUGUCUAAUUCAGCCUCUAAUUCAAAUCCAUAAAUUUAUGGUGAUUUUCUAAAGUCACGUUACUGCUGCUAUCCUAAGCAGACUAUUUCAAAUUACCCUUAAAUUCCCAAGCUCAAACACUUAAGAACUUACCAUUUGAACUUAGAACAUAUCAUGGCCACAUCAUAUCUUAUUAAAUCAACUCAUCAUGUCCUAUUAUAAUUGAAUUUACUCAACGUUUAAUCACUUAAAACUUACCUCGGAUGUUGUCGAACGAUUUCGACGGCUAUUCGACCACUUUUUCCUUCCCUUUAUCGGAUUUAGUUCCCCUUUGCUCUUGAGCUUAAUUCAAACAAAUUUAACUCAUUAAAGUCUCAUUUUGCUAGCUUAUGGCCUAAUAUACACAUAACUUAUGUACUUAUUCAUGUGGCCGAACAUACAUGUCUAUGUUGGGGCCGAUUGCAUCACAACACCAUACCAUUUCAAUUUUUGGUCAUGGUUAAACAAAGAACUUAAUGUCUCACUCAAAAAUGCUAAAAAGAAGAUUCAAGAAUCAUCAAUCCACCAUCACAUGCACCAUUACAAAGCUUCACUUUUAGCAUGCAAAAGAUAUCAACACCAAUCCACCUUGGCCGAAUAUCAUCUCCAUGACAUAGUAAAGAUUUGAACCAUGGGCUAUUUAGAACUCAAGCUAACUACUAAAACAUGCAUGCAUCUCAUGGAACAUCAUCAAACAUACCUUAGUCUAUCAAACCACCAUAUCCAAUUUCCUCAAAGCUCUUUUUCCUUCUUUUUCUUUCUCCUAUUCGGCCAAGAACAACAUGAGAGCCUUUCUCUUUUUUUUUUUGUCAUGCAUGAGAAUGAUGAACACAUUUUUUUCUCUUUGUUUUCUUCCUUCAAUUUCUUAUUAGUUUAUUGCCCAUGCUUCUUAUUUUAUUCUUCCAUUAACACAACAUAUUUCAUGACAUGUUUUGCCUAUGCUUCUUAUUUUAUUUUUCCAUUAACACAACAUGUUUUGCCCAUCAUCCCUUGUCAUGGCCGGCCACUAGUACUUAAAUGGGGGGAAAUUGACAUGCAAGUCCACCCCUUUGAUUACAUGCACUAUUAGGCCACUUGCAUUUGCCUAGCACAUUUCUAAAUUUUCUCACAUAAGUCCUAUCAACUAAAUUCACAUGCAAAUUACUAAAUCGAAGCUUAAAACUUUCACACAUUUAUAUUCACAUAUUUUAGGCAAUAAUUAUCACAUUCAAAUAAUUUGGUGACUCGGUCUAGCGGUCCCGAGACCGCUUUCCGACUAGGGUCACUUUAGGGGUGUCACACAUUAUACAUCUUCGUACUGCCCGGAUGAACCGCUAAACAACCAUUAUGUGCUUCAUGCAAAAUCUUUUGAAUCAACUCAUCAUUUUUCGAUACACAAAUCUGAUUUUUAAACAUCAAACAACCAUCAGAACUGAUUCUAAAAUCUGAUCCCGUAUCAGCUUCACACUGUUUUCUUUUGGCUAGCAAAUCUUGAUCAUUUUUUUGAGCUUCAGAAAUCUCUUGUAAAAACAUCGGUCUUGCUCUUAACUCUGCUAGAAUCGAACCGUCAUCUAAAAUUUUCAACUGAGUGUUCAUAACUCUCAAAGCAAACAACAACUUUCUGCUUAAAGCAUCGGCAACCACAUUCGCUUUUCCCGGAUGAUAAUCGAUAACAAGCUCGUAAUCUUUCAAUAACUCCAACCAUCUUCGCUGUCUAAAAUUCAAGUCUUUUUGUGACAUCAAGUAUUUAAGACUUUUGUGAUUGGUAUAUACUCGGCACUUUUUACCAUACAAAUAAUGUCGCCAAAUCUUCAAAUCAAAUACCACCACAGCCAAUUCCAAAUCGUGAGUAGGAUAAUUCUUCUCAUGAGGUUUUAACUGUCUCGAAGCAUAGGCCACCACUUUUCCUUCUUGCAUGAGUACACACCCCAAACCAUUUAGAGAAGCAUCACUAUACACCACAAAUUCUUUACCUGAUUCGGGUUGUAUCAACACUGGUGCUUCAGUUAAUAACUUUUUCAAUUCUUCGAAACUCUGUUGACAUUCUUCCGUCCAUUCAAAUUUAACAUCCUUUCAGAGUAGUCUAGUCAUAGGAGCAGCAAUUAUAGAAAAUCCAUUUACGAACCGCUGAUAAUACCCAGCUAGCCCCAAGAAACUUCUAACUUUAGUUACGUUUUUCGGUGGUUUCCAAUCAACAAUGGCUGAAAUUUUACUAGGAUCAACCCGUAUACCAUCACCUGAAACAAUAUGACCCAAAAAUCCAACUUCCCAGAGCCAAAAUUUACUUUUACUAAACUUAGCAUAUAGCUGCUUAUCUCUCAAAGUUUGCAAAACUAUCCUCAAAUGCUCAGCAUGCUCUGUCUCAUCUUUUGAAUAAAUUAAAAUAUCAUCUAUAAACACCAUAACAAAUCUGUCCAAGUAUGGCCGAAAUAUGCGAUUCAUUAAAUCCAUAAACACAGUAGGAGCAUUUGUCAACCCGAAUGGCAUAACUAAAAAUUCAUAAUGACCGUACCUUGUUCUAAAAGCAGUUUUAGGCACAUCUGACUCUUUUACUCGCAGCUGAUAAUACCCAGAUCUCAAGUCAAUCUUUGAAAACCAUGUCGCUCCUUUUAGCUGAUCAAACAAAUCAUCAAUUCUCGGCAACGGAUACUUGUUUUUGAUUGUCACCUUGUUUAACUGCCGAUAAUCAACACAUAAUCUCAUAGAACCAUCCUUCUUUUUCACAAAUAACACGGGAGCACCCCAAGGUGAAAAACUCUGUCUCACAAAGCCUUUAUCAUCAACUCUUGCAACUGUGACUUUAAUUCUUUCAACUCUGUUGGUGCCAUUCUAUAUGGAGUAAUCGAGAUCGGAGCUGUUCCCGGUAUUAAAUCAAUACAAAUUCUACUUCCCUGACUGGAGGCAAACCCGGCAAUUCCUCUGGAAAUGCAUCCGCAAAUUCACACACAACCGGCACUGAUUCAACUUUCUUUUCAACUUAUUUUGUAUUAAUUACAUACGCUAAAUAAGCUUCAUAACCCUUUCUCAAAUAUCUCUGAGCCGACAUCGAAGAAAUCAUACUAGAUAAUGCCUCUGAUUUGUCUGGUUCAACCCGCAGAAUUUCACCACUUUCACACUUUAAUUCUAUAACCUUUUCUUUGUAAUUUAUUAUAGCAUCAUGCAAUGUCAACCAAUCCAUACCCAAAAUAACAUCAAAUUCAUCAAACGGCAACAACAUCAAGUCGGCCGGAAAGUAAUGACCCCGAAUCAUUAAAGGGCAUUUCUUGUUUACUUUAUCAACUAUCACACAUUUGCCUAACGGGUUCGACACUCUAAUCAUAAAUUCUGUGUUCUCAACAGGUAUAUUCAUACUAGACACCAGUUUAAUGCAUACGUAUGAAUGAGUAGAACCAGGAUCAAUCAAAGCAAUAACAUUAAUAUCAUAAAGAGAAAAUGUACCGGUAAUCACAUCGGGUGAGAAAGCAUCUUCACGCGCUUUAAUAGCAUAAGUUCUAGCCGGAGCUCUUCCCUCAAAUCUAACUGCUGCAUCUCUAGCUACAUUCUUACUGCUUGUUUCACUUCCAGCUUUUCUCG